ACCCUUGAGGAAUCACCUCGGUCAGCCUACAUGGGAACUGCCGGCUUGCCGGAUAUGGCGAUAAAUGAUGCCGUGAAAUAGACGCAGCGGACCCGGGGGCAGUACCCGGCGGCUCCACCAUUUCUUCAACCCGUUGUCGGGGCGAUGCAUGGGGCCGAACCAGAAUCGACGUGUGUUCAAAGACGAUAUUUUUGCCCGGCCUGAAUGAGCCGUAAAACCGUUCAAAACACCAUAAAUGCCAACGACAACGAGGCAUUCGCAAUCGCAGCGUAACCCGGUCCUCACGGACUGAGUUUCACUGGCCGAAAGCGCGGUACGGGCCACACCGGGCAACAGAAGUGGAUUCCA
rnacentral:tmRNA from 1 species